rnacentral:lncRNA from 1 species
ACUAGUCUAAUGGGAGAAGGGUGGCUCUCCCUUUUAAAGUGGCUUCCUCCUCCCAAGUUAAGCGAGGUAGGAUAAUUCUGAGGCUCACACGGUCGCCGUCCGACUACAAUUGGGCCAACUGGGCCGAUUGCGUCUUUGCCAACGGGUAAUAGUGGAGGAUGUCCUCAUCAUUCCUACCUUCUUAAAAUGGGCCCUAGCUCUAAUACCAGAUGAUACACCCAGCCCAGGUGGGGUUGGCCGAGGCCCAACAAAUUAGGGUUUCCCGGAGCCCAACAGUUCAUUAAGCACACCCAACUCAAGGAAAGGCCCAAUCGCCCCAAAAGACUAGUCCAAUGGGAGAAGGGUGGCUCUCCCUUUUAAAGUGGCUUCCUCCUCCCAAGUUAAGCGAGGUGGGAUAAUUCUGAGGCUCACACGGUCGUCGUCCGACUACAUUGGGCCAAUUGGGCCAAUUGUGUCUUUGCCAACGGGUAAUAGUGGAGGAUGUCCUCAUCAUUCCUACCUUCUUAAAAUGGGCCCUAGCUCUGAUACCAGAUGAUACACCUAGCCCAGGUGGGGUUGGCCGAGGCCCAACAAAUUAGGGUUUCCUGGAGCCCAACAGUUCAUUAAGCACACCCAACUCAGGGAAAGGCCCAAUCGCCCCAAAAAGA